AUUGAACGCUGGCGGCAUGCCUUACACAUGCAAGUCGAACGGUAACAGGUCUUCGGAUGCUGACGAGUGGCGAACGGGUGAGUAAUACAUCGGAACGUGCCCGAUCGUGGGGGAUAACGGAGCGAAAGCUUUGCUAACACCGCAUACGGUCUACGGAUGAAAGCAGGGGACCGCAAGGCCUUGCGCGAACGGAGCGGCCGAUGGCAGAUUAGGUAGUUGGUGGGAUAAAAGCUUACCAAGCCGACGAUCUGUAGCUGGUCUGAGAGGACGACCAGCCACACUGGGACUGAGACACGGCCCAGACUCCUACGGGAGGCAGCAGUGGGGAAUUUUGGACAAUGGGCGCAAGCCUGAUUCAGCAAUGCCGCGUGCAGGAUGAAAGCCUUCGGGUUGUAAACUGCUUUUGUACGGAACGAAAAGGCUCUGGUUAAUACCUGGGGCUCAUGACGGUACCGUAAGAAUAAGCACCGGCUAACUACGUGCCAGCCGCCGCGGUAAGAC
rnacentral:rRNA from 1 species